UACGAAGGGGGGCUAGCGUUGCUCGGAAUUACUGGGCGUAAAGAGCGCGUAGGCGGUCAUGUAAGUCAGGUGUGAAAGACCUUAGCUUAACUAAGGAACUGCAUUUGAUACUGCAUAACUAGAGUAUGGUAGAGGAAAGUGGAAUUUCCGGUGUAGCGGUGAAAUGCGUAGAUACCGGAAGGAACACCAGUGGCGAAGGCGGCUUUCUGGACCAAUACUGACGCUGAGGCGCGAAAGCGUGGGGAGCAAACAGG
rnacentral:rRNA from 1 species